CCUACGGGCGGCAGCAGUGAGGAAUAUUGGUCACUGGACGAGAGUCUGAACCAGCCAAGUAGCGUGAAGGAUGACUGCCCUAUGGGUUGUAAACUUCUUUUAUAUGGGAAUAAACUGUUCCACGUGUGGGAUUUUGUAUGUACCAUAUGAAUAAGGAUCGGCUAACUCCGUGCCAGCAGCCGCGGUAAUACGGAGGAUCCGAGCGUUAUCCGGAUUUAUUGGGUUUAAAGGGAGCGUAGGUGGAUUGUUAAGUCAGUUGUGAAAGUUUGCGGCUCAACCGUAAAAUUGCAGUUGAAACUGGCAGUCUUGAGUACAGUAGAGGUGGGCGGAAUUCGUGGUGUAGCGGUGAAAUGCUUAGAUAUCACGAAGAACUCCGAUUGCGAAGGCAGUUCACUGGACUGCAACUGACACUGAGGCUCGAAAGUGUGGGUAUCAAACAGGAUUAGAUACCCGAGUAGUC
rnacentral:rRNA from 1 species